CGUGUAGGCGGUUAUGUAAGUCAGAUGUGAAAGCCUUCCGCUUAACGGGAGAAGUGCAUUUGAAACUACAUGACUGGAGUACGGGAGAGGAGAGUGGAAUUCCCGGUGUAGAGGUGAAAUUCGUAGAUAUCGGGAGGAACACCAGUGGCGAAGGCGGCUCUCUGGCCUGAUACUGACGCUGAGACGCGAAAGCGUGGGGAGCAAACAGGAUUAGAUACCCUGGUAGUCCACGCCGUAAACGAUGGGCACUAGGUGUAGGAGGUAUUGACCCCUUCUGUGCCGAAGCUAACGCAUUAAGUGCCCCGCCUGGGGAGUACGGCCGCAAGGUUAAA
rnacentral:rRNA from 1 species